GAUGAACGCUGGCGGCGUGCCUAACACAUGCAAGUCGAACGGAGUCGUUUUGGAAAUCUCUUAGGAGAUGGAAUUCUCGACUUAGUGGCGGACGGGUGAGUAACGCGUGAGCAAUCUGCCUUUAAGAGGGGGAUAACAGUCGGAAACGGCUGCUAAUACCGCAUAAAGCAUUAAAUUCGCAUGUUUUUGAUGCCAAAGGAGCAAUCCGCUUUUAGAUGAGCUCGCGUCUGAUUAGCUAGUUGGCGGGGUAACGGCCCACCAAGGCGACGAUCAGUAGCCGGACUGAGAGGUUGAACGGCCACAUUGGGACAGAGACACGGCCCAGACUCCUACGAGAGGCAGCAGUGGGGAAUAUUGCGCAAUGGGGGAAACCCUGACGCAGCAACGCCGCGUGAUUGAAGAAGGCCUUCGGGUUGUAAAGAUCUUUAAUCAGGGACGAAACAAAUGACGGUACCUGAAGAAUAAGCUCCGGCUAACUACGUG
rnacentral:rRNA from 1 species